rnacentral:lncRNA from 1 species
UGAUGCCAUUCUUCUCAGAACCCAGGCAGCAGCUGCUGCCUGACCCAUUCAGUCACUGCUUCCCAAGGGAUUUUAGGGACCUGGUCAAGUAUCCAUGUGUUUUUCCCCAAGUGGAUGGUGUUGCCAGUGAACUUCCAAUGGAUGUGGCAAAUGGAUUUUAACAGACUGAGGUUGUCUUGCAUGUCUUUGUAUAUUCCUCUGAGUCCUAAGUAGAUGUGCUGAGAAAAGGACUGUCACGUUGCACACUGUGGGCCCGGGGUGAUCUUAAAUCAUCACUGAGAAACUGAAAGUGGAUGAAAAAAUGAUGUUCAGAGAGAAUAAUUAACAAUCUGAAGAUUCUACAGCUGGAAGUCAAGUCCUCAGAGCCUGGGCUCAUCUCUGUCCUAAUACUGUCCCACUGAAGGGAAGACCACAAGUGUGUCCGUGUUCUAAUGCUUACCAAGGAAUCUUGGGAUAACUGUAGGGAUAGAAAAGAGGACCAAUUUUGGAGUUAGGGUGCUGUAUUCAAAUCAUAUCUCUGCUACAGCAGCUGUGGGGCUUCUCUGCUCCCAAAUAUUCACUCACAAUGGCUUAAUGUACUAAUAACACCAGACGCAAUAAAAGCAGUGUAGUGAUGAG